rnacentral:rRNA from 1 species
CUAUCGGAUUGAUAUUAGCCAUGCGAGUCAUGUAGCAAUNCAAGACAGACGGCUCAGUACCGCGUAGGUCACNUAACCUAUGGAGGGAUAACCUCGGGAAACUGAGAAUAAACCCCGAUAGAUCAUAAUGCUUGGAAUGGCUUAUGGUUCAAACAAUUUAUUCCCAUAGGAGGGGACUGCGGCCUAUCAGCUUGUUGGGGAGGUAAUGGCCCACCAAGGCUAUAACAGGUACGGCCUCUGAGAGGAGAAGCCUGGAGAUGGGUACUGAGACACAGACCCAGCCCCUAUGGGGCGCAGCAGGCGAGAAACUUUACCAAUGUGCGAAAGCACGAGUAGGUUAAUCCGAGUGGUUCCUGCUAAAGGAACCUUUUGUCAGUCGUAAAACCACAGACGAAUAAGGGGGUGGGCAAGUCUGGUGUCAGCCGCCGCGGUAAUACCAGCACCUCGAGUGGUCAGGAGGUUUAUUGGGCCUAAAGCAUCCGUAGCCGGUUACGCAAGUCUUCGGUUAAAUCCAACUGCUCAACAGAUGGGCUGCCGGAGAUCCUACAUAGCUAGGGAGCGGGAAAGUCAGACUGUAUUCGGUGGGUAGGGGUAAAAUCCACUAAUCCAUCGAGGACCCCCAGUGGGGAAGGCGUUCUGCCAAAACGCUUUCGACGGUGAGGGAUAAAAGCUGGGGAACCAAACCGGAUUAGAUACCCGGUUAUUCCCAGCUUUAAACGAUCCAAACUCGGUUAUGCGUUGGCUUAUGCCCAACCCAGUCCCGCAGGGAAGCCUUUAAUUUUCCCCCCUGGGAAGU